rnacentral:rRNA from 1 species
UACGUAGGGUGCAAGCGUUGUCCGGAAUUAUUGGGCGUAAAGCGCACGUAGGCGGUCCGGUAAGUCGGGAGUGAAAGCCCUUGGCUUAACCAAGGAAGUGCUUUCGAAACUACCGGGCUUGAGUACGGGAGAGGGUCGCGGAAUUCCCGGUGUAGAGGUGAAAUUCGUAGAUAUCGGGAGGAACACCAGUGGCGAAGGCGGCGACCUGGACCGAUACUGACGCUGAUGUGCGAAAGCGUGGGAGCAACAGG